UUCAUCUAGAGAAGCUUUUCCCCAAAGGUGAAAUGAGAUAAAUCCUUCCACCUCUUUACUCAGACACAGGAAUAGUAAAUUUUGAACACUGAUUUUGUCUCCCAGGAGUGAUGUACAACAUAGUUAAAACUUCCAAUGCUGAUAUAACUUGUGUGAGUGUUACUCAUUAGGAGGACUGCAUGCCAGUAACCAUAGGAAUCUGAAUCUCAUCGAAGUUGUCACAUGUUUCACAAUAUUCUGACUGUGUUCAAGCCUAUGGCCCUUCAUUUUCCUUUGAUGCUUAAAUCCUUCUGAACAGUGGGUAGCACUGUUACUUCAGUUGAUUUACAGAUUCUUUACCUAUCUUUCAAGUAAGAGACCCUCAAGAGAGCCAACUGGAUUUCCACUCUUUGAGAUGCAUUCACCUCUAGCAGCAGUACAUCCUGGGUCUACUCCCAUGACAGCAGGGCUUACAGAGGGCUGGAUUCUUCCCUGCACCUCACCAGACCUACUAUCCAUUCAUCUACAUGUUAAUUUUAGUCCCAGAAGAUUGCUGACUUGGGUAAGAGAAUGUCAAAAGCUGUGUUUUCUGGAGCUUUGACCAAUUGGAACACAGAAGAUGAUCAGAGACAGAAAGG